rnacentral:rRNA from 1 species
GGUUGUAAAGCUCUUUCAGCCGGAAAGAGAUCGCGCAGGCUAAUACUCUGCGUGGAUGACGGUGCCGGAAGAAGAAGCACCGGCUAACUACGUGCCAGCAGCCGCGGUAAUACGUAGGGUGCGAGCGUUAAUCGGAAUUACUGGGCGUAAAGCGUGCGCAGGCGGUUAUAUAAGACAGAUGUGAAAUCCCCGGGCUCAACCUGGGAACUGCGUUUGUGACUGUAUGACUAGAGUACGGCAGAGGGAGGUGGAAUUCCGCGUGUAGCAGUGAAAUGCGUAGAUAUGCGGAGGAACACCGAUGGCGAAGGCAGCCUCCUGGGCCAGUACUGACGCUCAUGCACGAAAGCGUGGGUAGCAAACAGGAUUAGAUACCCUGGUAGUCCACGCCCUAAACGAUGUCAACUAGUUGUUCGGUGAGGAGACUCAUUGAGUAACGCAGCUAACGCGUGAAGUUGACCGCCUGGGGAGUACGGCCGCAAGGUUAAAACUCAAAGGAAUUGACGGGGACCCGCACAAGCGGUGGAUGAUGUGGAUUAAUUCGAUGCAACGCGAAAAACCUUACCUACCCUUGACAUGUCAGGAAUCCUUGAGAGAUUGAGGAGUGCCCGAAAGGGAACCUGAACACAGGUGCUGCAUGGCUGUCGUCAGCUCGUGUCGUGAGAUGUUGGGUUAAGUCCCGCAACGAGCGCAACCCUUGUCGCUAAUUGCCAUCAUUAAGUUGGGCACUUUAACGAGACUGCCGGUGACAAACCGGAGGAAGGUGGGGAUGACGUCAAGUCCUCAUGGCCCUUAUGGGUAGGGCUUCACACGUCAUACAAUGGUCGGUACAGAGGGUUGCCAAGCCGCGAGGUGGAGCCAAUCCCAGAAAGCCGAUCGUAGUCCGGAUCGGAGUCUGCAACUCGACUCCGUGAAGUCGGAAUCGCUAGUAAUCGCAGAUCAGCAUGCUGAGGUGAAUACGUUCCCGGGCCUUGUACACACCG